rnacentral:rRNA from 14 species
UCUUAGUAUCAUAUCUUAUAAGUUUAUUGUAUCAUGUACUCGUCCGAUCACUGAAGUCCAGUAUCGUCGGGCGCGGUUAGUACUUGGAUGGGUGACCGCUUGGGAACACCGCGUGUCGUUGUCC